rnacentral:rRNA from 1 species
UACGAAGGGGGCUAGCGUUGCUCGGAAUUACUGGGCGUAAAGGGCGCGUAGGCGGUUCUAUAAGUCAGGCGUGAAAUUCCUGGGCUUAACCUGGGGGCUGCGCUUGAGACUGUGGGACUUGAGGUCAGAAGAGGGUCGUGGAAUUCCCAGUGUAGAGGUGAAAUUCGUAGAUAUUGGGAAGAACACCUAUAGCGAAGGCAGCUUACUAGGCUGUAACUGACGCUGAGGCACGAAAGUGUGGGGAUCAAACAGG